CUCUUAGGCAAAUCCGGGAUCACUUACGCCGAGCACCGAGACGAGUCCUAUGAGGACGAAGUGACUGACACCACGCUUCCAGGAAAAGCCACUAAGCUUCAGCUUAAGAAAAACCGUACCGCAAACCGACACAGGUAGGCAGGGUGAGAAUCCCAAGGCGCUUGAGAGAACUCGGGUGAAGGAACUAGGCAAAAUGGCACCGUAACUUCGGGAGAAGGUGCGCCCUUUGGUGUGGUCACGUGCGUGACUGAGCAUCGAAGGGUCGCCGUAACCUGGCCGCUGCGACUGUUUAUCAAAAACACAGCACUCUGCAAACACGAAAGUGGACGUAUAGGGUGUGACGCCUGCCCGGUGCUGGAAGGUUAAUUGAUGGGGUCAGCCGCAAGGCGAAGCUCUUGAUCGAAGCCCCAGUAAACGGCGGCCGUAACAAUAACGGUCCUAAGGUAGCGAAAUUCCUUGUCGGGUAAGUUCCGACCUGCACGAAUGGCGUAACGACAGCGGCGCUGUCUCCACCCGAGACUCAGUGAAAUUGAAAUCGCUGUGAAGAUGCAGCGUUCCCGCGGCAAGACGGAAAGACCCCGUGAACCUUUACUAUAGCUUUACACUGAACGUUGAGUUCUUCUGUGUAGGAUAGGUGGGAGGCUAUGAAACCAGGACGCUAGUUCUGGUGGAGCCAUCCUUGAAAUACCACCCUGAAGUGCUUGACGUUCUAACCUAGGCCCGUAAUCCGGGUCAGGGACCGUGUAUGGUGGGUAGUUUGACUGGGGCGGUCUCCUCCCAAAGAGUAACGGAGGAGCACGAAGGUACGCUCAGCGCGGUCGGACAUCGCGCACUGUGUGCAAAGGCAUAAGCGUGCUUGACUGCGAGAUCGACGGAUCAAGCAGGUACGAAAGUAGGUCUUAGUAUCCGGUGGUUCUGUAUGGAAGGGCCAUCGCUCAACGGAUAAAAGGUACUCCGGGGAUAACAGGCUGAUACCGCCCAAGAGUUCAUAUCGACGGCGGUGUUUGGCACCUCGAUGUCGGCUCAUCACAUCCUGGGGCUGUAGCCGGUCCCAAGGGUAUGGCUGUUCGCCAUUUAAAGUGGUACGUGAGCUGGGUUCAGAACGUCGUGAGACAGUUCGGUCCCUAUCUGUCGUGGGCGUUGGAGAUUUGAGGGGGGCUGCUCCUAGUACGAGAGGACCGGAGUGGACGUUCCGCUGGUGUUCGGGUUGUCAUGCCCAUGGCAUUGCCCGGUAGCUACGAACGGAAGUGAUAACCGCUGAAAGCAUCUAAGCGGGAAGCACGCCCCAAGAUGAGAUCUCCCGAGAGCUUGACUCUCCUAAAGGCACCAUCAAGACUAGGUGGUUGAUAGGUCAGGUGUGGAAGCGCAGCAAUGCGUUGAGCUAACUGAUACUAAUGAGCCGUGAGGCUUGACC
rnacentral:rRNA from 1 species